rnacentral:rRNA from 1 species
GACGAAGGGGGCUAGCGUUGUUCGGAAUUACUGGGCGUAAAGCGCGUGUAGGCGGUUUCCAUAGUCAGGUGUGAAAGCCUUGAGCUUAACUCAAGAAAUGCACUUGAUACUGGGCGACUAGAGGACCGGAGAGGAUAGUGGAAUUCCCAGUGUAGUGGUGAAAUACGUAGAGAUUGGGAAGAACACCAGUGGCGAAGGCGGCUAUCUGGACGGUUACUGACGCUAAGACGCGAAAGCGUGGGGAGCAAACAGG